UACGAAGGGGGCUAGCGUUGCUCGGAAUCACUGGGCGUAAAGCGCACGUAGGCGGCUUCUUAAGUCAGGGGUGAAAUCCCGGGGCUCAACUUCGGAACUGCCUUUGAUACUGCGAAUCUCGAGUCCGGAAGAGGUGAGUGGAAUUCCUAGUGUAGAGGUGAAAUUCGUAGAUAUUAGGAAGAACACCAGUGGCGAAGGCGGCUCACUGGUCCGGUACUGACGCUGAGGUGCGAAAGCGUGGGGAGCAAACAGG
rnacentral:rRNA from 1 species